rnacentral:rRNA from 1 species
UACGAGGGGGGCGAGCGUUGUUCGGAAUUAUUGGGCGUAAAGGGUGCGUAGGCGGCCUGACAAGUCUGAUGUGAAAUCCCUGGGCUCAACCCAGGGCCUGCAUCGGAAACUGUCGGGCUUGAGUAUGGGAGAGGUGAGUGGAAUUUCCGGUGUAGCGGUGAAAUGCGUAGAUAUCGGAAGGAACACCUGUGGCGAAAGCGGCUCACUGGACCAUUACUGACGCUGAGGCACGAAAGCUAGGGGAGCAAACAGGAGUUAGAAA